AUUGAACGCUGGCGGCAUGCUUUACACAUGCAAGUCGAACGGCAGCGCGGGCUUCGGCCUGGCGGCGAGUGGCGAACGGGUGAGUAAUGCAUCGGAACGUGCCCAGUAGUGGGGGAUAGCCCGGCGAAAGCCGGAUUAAUACCGCAUACGACCUGAGGGUGAAAGCGGGGGACCGAAAGGCCUCGCGCUAUUGGAGCGGCCGAUGUCGGAUUAGCUAGUUGGUGGGGUAAAGGCUUACCAAGGCGACGAUCCGUAGCUGGUCUGAGAGGACGACCAGCCACACUGGAACUGAGACACGGCCCAGACUCCUACGGGAGGCAGCAGUGGGGAAUUUUGGACAAUGGGGGCAACCCUGAUCCAGCCAUGCCGCGUGCGGGAAGAAGGCCUUCGGGUUGUAAACCGCUUUUGUUCGGGAAGAAAUCCUCUGGGCUAAUACCCCGGGGGGAUGACGGUACCGGAAGAAUAAGCACCGGCUAACUACGG
rnacentral:rRNA from 1 species